CCUUUCCAAGUCCUUCAUUCAAACAUAAACUCAGAGCUUCCUAGGAACCAGGCUCCCUGGAGAGCUCUAGAUGUGGCAGAUGUGACUACACGUUCCCUCCCAUGAACUGAAGAUCAGUGGCUGCAGGGCCAGGACCCCACAGGCUUCCUGAGCCCCGCUGCAGUGCUCUGUCCCCAUCUGCCAGGGGGGCUUGCUGGACAGGACCUUGCCAUCCCGCUUCGACCUGAGUCAUCUCCUAAAGUCCAAUAAAACCCAGGGACAGAGGCAGGAUGCAGGAAUAAAAAUAAGCUUCAGCCAGAGAGAAAUAAAGGCAGCAGUGUGGGGGAAUCUCGAGAGCAUGGCAGUCCAGGAAUCCGGAGGGCAAAAUGCCCAUAAUGGCGUAUUUUCCAGCAGAGAAAAACAUUAAGACCCACUUUAGAAAUGUAGUUCUCACCACAGCUAUUCCUGGACUCCAGCCCAGAAGAGCAGUAGGGCCAUAUGAAUGACACUCUCCACCCACACUUACCCACUCCCGACUGGCUGGCUGUCUCUGUCCCAAAACAUCUUGUGCUUCUUCCGUGCAGCCUUCCCAGACUUACCCCUCCUCCUUUCUCUCUGUGGCCAUUACCCUCCCCCGCCACCAGACCCCAUCCUGAUAAGAUGAGCUAUGCUCACUUGCCUCUGUCUCCUUGGAA
rnacentral:lncRNA from 1 species